rnacentral:misc_RNA from 1 species
GUAGGUGAACCUGCGGAAGGAUCAUUAAAAUAAUGGGUUUGGAACCUUUGAUCGGGUUCUGAACCUUUGGCGCGAAGCACCCGGGUGGGGGGCUUAUCCAUGGAGUUGAGGUAUUGCCGUUACAAGCUUUGGAAUGGGCAUGACCUAGGGUAGCGUCUACAGGGUUAGUAUCUAUCACCUGUAGGUCCUUUUGCCGCCCUUCUUACAGCCUUCCCACCCGCUGGAUCCAUGACCAAAAAACCCACUGUGAAACAUCUCCUUGCUUGGGCAGCACCUCCUUACAGGGUGUGGUCAGUCUGCCUGAAGCCCUAAAACGAAACUCUUUGUCAAGAAACAUUUGUCCGACAAGCAGUCUAAUGACUUUAAAACUUUCAACAACGGAUCUCUUGGUUCUC